GACGAACGCUGGCGGCGUGCCUAAUACAUGCAAGUAGAACGCUGAAGAGAGGAGCUUCCUCUUCUUGGAUGAGUUGCGAACGGGUGAGUAACGCGUAGGUAACCUGCCUUGUAGCGGGGGAUAACUAUUGGAAACGAUAGCUAAUACCGCAUAACAAUGGAUGACACAUGUCAUUUAUUUGAAAGGGGCAAUUGCUCCACUACAAGAUGGACCUGCGUUGUAUUAGCUAGUAGGUGAGGUAAUGGCUCACCUAGGCGACGAUACAUAGCCGACCUGAGAGGGUGAUCGGCCACACUGGGACUGAGACACGGCCCAGACUCCUACGGGAGGCAGCAGUAGGGAAUCUUCGGCAAUGGGGGCAACCCUGACCGAGCAACGCCGCGUGAGUGAAGAAGGUUUUCAGAUCGUAAAGCUCUGUUGUAAGUCAAGAACGGGUGUGAGAGUGGAAAGUUCACACUGUGACGGUAGCUUACCAGAAAGGGACGGCUAACUACGUG
rnacentral:rRNA from 1 species